AAUUUGUCAAUUUAAUUAGCUUAAAGAGUGCAUUUUAUGUGAAUUUUAUAAUACUUGUUGUUUCUGUUGUUGCCUUAAUUUGAUGUAUUGUUAUUUUAUAUCGGAUUACAGGUGUAUUUCUCGUUCCUCAUUGUUGGCCAUACUCAUGAGGACAUAGACGCUGCGUUCAGCAAAAUUUCAAGAUCACUGAAAAAGAAAUCAGCAGAAACAUUACCAGAUUUACUUCAGUGUAUACCAAAUGUAGAGAGAGUUGGUGAAGCUGAUGAUGUUAAAAGUUGGCUUGGAGAAAACAUUUGUGAUGUAAAAGGAACCAGUGAACCUUUGCAUUACAAAUUUGUUGCCAGUGGUAAUAAUGUCAAAGUUUUUUAUAAAGGUCUCCAACACACAUUCUGGAAAGAAUUAAAUGGAAGAGGAACAUUUUUACGAAAAGUGCCUAGUGGAAAUCCCAAACCUCUGAAGCCAGGCUAUUCAAAGUUUGACCUCAAUAUAGAAAAAUUAAAAAAACUAGUGUCUUCAGUAGAGGGACUUUUUCUCAGACAAAGACAAGUUUAAUUGGUGGACUUUAUCCCAAAUGUGAAAACAUAUGCUUUACAAAAUACACCCAAACGAGAAUGGAUAAAUGUCCUUCCAAAGCAGCCUCUUUUUCCCAAAUCCAGGAGUUCUCUGUCUCUGCUUGAUCCAGAUUUGAAAAAAGGUACUGGAAAAAGAAUCUGCAGAACCUAAGCUAACUUGUGAAAAGGCAACAUUGAAAGUUUUGAAGUCUAAAAAAAGAAAACUGCAGAAGACGGUGAAAGUCCGGAAAGGCAGUGUUAAGUCAGCAGGAGCACAGGUUAAAAGAAAACAACAUAAUCAGAAACAGAAACAAGGGAAGUCGAAGAACAAAAAUCAUGGAAAAUUUCAGAAGUCUAACAAAAGAUCAGAAGUGAAACAGAGACAACAGAAUAGAAUGAUGAUCAUUCCUAUUGUAGAUGAUAUCAAGAAGCAUAUCUGGUUGAUAAUCUUCUUUUAUCUUGUAGACUUGUUUAUUUCUUUCACUGCUUUGUUUCUGUUUUUAUUUCACUUGCUUUAUUUUAUUACAACUGUUGAUGCAAUUGUACAACAAGUAAAUGUUCUAUGGGAAGUUCUGCUGAGGCAACACAUAGGGUGUCAGUUUGUACAUAGAAAUUCUGCACGAUUUGUGAUAGCAUAAUUUGCCUACCAUUUCGAAGUAGAGUGAACAGUUUUUGCUCAAUAAUUUGAGAACUACUUGACACUGAACAUUCAUUUUCGGUAUAAUGAUUGGGCAUAUAAAGUAGAUGUGUUUUAUUAACACCUCAUGAUUUAUAGAAUUUUAAAAUAUUUUUGCUGAUACAGCAUGUUACAAUUCUAUACCUAUUUUUCUCUUCUAUUCACAUUUGUACCAUUGAGACACUGGAUUCCAUACUGGAGGAUACAAAAAUCUCUUUGUUGAUUAAAUGAUAAAACUGUUGACUUUUGAUAAAGGAUCACAUAAAUAUCAACAUCAGCAGAUGAUUGACCCAAUAUUUCUGUAAUCUUUCAAAAACACUGUCUUCAUCAGAUUGUCUUUUUUUAAAUGAGGAAAAAAGGUAUAGAGUGAAUAGUAAGUUCACAUUAUCCUGUACAUAAUUGGAUAUAUUUGGACUGUACCAAUCUUAGAAACAUAAUUAUUAGACUUACCUAGCACUUCAUUAAAUGGGUUAUUAUUGAAAUAUAUAUUUCCGCAUUGUACAGAACAAUAUUGAAUAACUUACUAUUGUAUGUUUAUAAUAAGAUGUAUGUUAAAUUGUUAAUUUUAAGAUAACUGAUUAAAUACCAGGACUACGGACCAGUACGCAUUUUAGACAUAAGACCUAUGUUUUAUUACCUGAUUUACAUUAAAAUCUCUUAAUGGUAGUACUCUGGUUUCAGUUGAAUUUUCCUGUCAAUAUUUUAGGUCUAUUUAGAUAGGAUAUUCAAUAUGAAAGUACCUGAAAUGAUUGUAUAGUGUUUUGAAUUGAUAUAAAAGUGGCCAAUCUUAGCAACCUUUUUGCUUAUUUUGUAGUUUAAAUGACUAUCUUGAAGGUCAGAUGGUUAAGGUCCUCUUCAGGUGACUUAGUCCCAUUUGGGCUUCUUUUUUUUUGUAAUUAUUAUACUUCAGUAGCUUUCAUUUUUUAAGGGGUUGUACUGUAUUAUUGGGUGUUUUGGUUACUCUUUGAUACGCAUGAUAGGUAGCAUGAGUUUCUCUAUUAGUACGGCCUGAGAAAGUGACUUUUACAAAAUGUGGUCACAUUAUUCCUUAUACUCAUUCAUCAUGGUUGGUAUCAUGAGUUUCUCUUAUAUUUCGUUUCGAUAAGAGCUAAGUAAAAUGACUUACAAAAAUGUUGCUACAUUAUUUGUUUGUUUAAUCAUCUUGAGAGUUUUAUCUUAUUUGUAUUUAUUUAUGUAAUUGUUGUAUAAGUAAAUGUUGUUCCAUAUUUAGAUAAGUACAUUUUGCUGGGAAAAAUUAUAGUAUUUGGUUAUAACAUGGAAAAUUUAAUAUUUAUGCUCGGGAAGUAAUAAAUUAUUUGAAUGUUUCUUCUCUCAAUGUUUCAGAAUAGUUUUUAACUCACCUGAGCCAAAGCUCAAGUUGAGCUUUUGUGACCACUUGAUGUCCAUCUUACGUUUCAAACAGUUUGUCAACAAUUACUUGUCUGCACGAUUGUGGUUUCAUUUAUGAUUUGAUUUUAACCAAACUUGCACAUAACUUGUAUUACUAUAGGAUCUUGGUUUCUUUCUAGAAGCCAAUCUGGGUUCCAGAGACAUGGCCUCUGAAAGGGCAAAAGUUGUCUUGUCUGCAGGAUAGUGGUUUCAUUUAUGACUUGAUUUAACCAAACCUGCACACAACUUGUAUUACCAUAAGAUUUCGGUUCCUUUUUUGAAUCAAUACCAUCCUAUCAUAGGUUCCAAAGUUGCGGCCCCUGGAAGGGAAAAACUUUUUUGGUCUUGUCUGAAUGCUAGGGGUUACACUUAUGAUUUGAUUUUAACCAAACUUGCAGACGCUUGUAGCACAAUAAGACCACAGUUCCUUUCAUGAAUCAGCCAUAUUCUACCAUGGAUUCCAGAGUUAUGGUCCCUGAAAAGACUAACAUUUGCAAUCUUGGUCUUGUCUGCACAAUAGUGAUUUCAAUAUUGUUUUUGCCCUGUCCUUCCAUACGUUCAUAGGGUGGCGGGGCUUAUGGAGUAGACGACCCCUAUUGCUUUUGGGGUCACUCUGUCAAAGGUCAAGCUCACAGGGGCCUGAACAGGGAAAACCAUUUCUGAUCAAUAACGUGAGAACCGCCUGCCCAUAUUGUUGAAACUUCAUAGGAUGAUUGGUCUUGCAGAGUAGACGACCCCUUUUGAUUUUGGGGUCACUUUAUUAAAGGUCAAGGUCACAGGGGCCUGAAUAAGGAACAUCAUUUCCAGUCUGUAACUUGAGAAGCACUUGACCCAGUAUGUUGAAACUUCAUAGGAUGACUUGUCAUGCAUAACCCCUAUUAAUUUUUGGGUCACUAUUAAAGGUCAAGGUCACAGGGACCUGAACAUGGACAACCAUUUUCGGUCUGUAACUUGUGAACCACUUGACCCAGUAUGUUGAAACUUCAUAGGAUGAUUGGUCAUGCAGAGCAGAUGACACUUAUUGAUUUUGGGGUCACUCUGUUAAUGGUCAAUGUCACAGGGGCCUGAUCAUGGAAAGUCUUUUCCAAUCAAUAACUCGAGAACCACUUAACCCAAAAUGUUGAAAGUUCAUAGAAUGAUUGGACAUACAGAGGGGAUAACCCCUAUCGAAUUUAAGGGUCACUUUUUAAAGGUCAAGGUCUCAGGAGCAUGAACAUUGAAAACCAUUUCAGGUCGGUAACUUGAGAACCACCUGACCCAGAAUGUUGAAACUUCAUAGAAUGAUUGGUCAUGCAGAGUAGAUGACCCCUGUUGAUUUUGGGGAUCACUUGAUCAAAGGUCAAGGUCACAGGGGCCUGAACAUGGAAAACCAUUUCCAGUCAGUAAUUUGAGAAUGACUUUACCCAGAAUGUUGAAACUUCAUAGGGUGAUUGGACAUGCAGAGGGGAUGACCCCUACCGAUUUUGGAGUCACUCUGUUAAAGGUCAAGGUCACAGGGGCCUGAACUUGGAGAACCAUUUCCAGUCAGUAACUUGAGAUCUACUCGACUCGGAAUGUUAAAACUUCAUAGGAUGAUUGGACAUGCAGAGUACAAUUAAUAAUCCCUAUUGAUUUUGGGGGACACUCUAGAUCUGUUAAAGGUCAGGGUUGCAGCAUAUAGGAAAUGGAAAGCCAUUUCCAGUUUGUCACUUUAGAACCAUUUGACCUAGAACCUUCAAACUCCAUAUAGAAUUACAGAGAAGGUGACCCCUAUUGCUAUUUUUUUAACCAAUCUUGCUCACAAGUUGUAUCACCAUAAAAUCUCGGUUCCUUUUUUUUUUUUUGAACCAGCCAUAUCCCAUUAUGGGUUCCAUAGAUAAAAUUGGCAAUUCUGGUCUUGUCUGCAGGAUAGUGGUUUCAUUUGUGAUUUGAUUUAAACUAAACUUGCACACUAUUUGUAUUACUGUAAGGUUUUCGGUCCUUUCUUGAAUCUGCAAUAUCUUACCAUGGGUUCCAGAGUUACAGCCCCUGAAUGUGCAAAAUUGGUUAUUUUGGUCUUGUCUGCACGACAGUGGUUUUAUUUAUGAUUUGAUUUUAACCAAACAUGCACACAAGUUGUAUCACCAUAAGAUCAAGUCUCCUUUCUUGAACCAGCCAUAUUCCAGAGUUACUGCCCCUGUGUGUCCACAAACUUUGUCCGUACCAUUUCUUCUUCAUGCAUCGAGGGAUUUUGAUGUAUAUUCAUGAGACAGAGUGUCAUGGGCAAGAACUAGAUCUAAGGUCAAGGUCCCCAUGACCACUUUUCUGUGGUAUAACAUGCAUGUUACAUCCGAUUUUUAGGUGUAUUUUGACCUAUCUCUUCCUAAUAACGAGUUUUAUGUGGACUUUAAUUAUAUAGAAUUAAGGUUUAACUUCCCUAUAUUGUUACUAUUGAUAACUAAUAUUAUACCUGUUUCAUAAUUGGCCAAAAUAUUUUACAUGCAAAUACAGGUGCUAGUGUAAAGAAAUUUGCUGUGACGGUCGUAUAUUGUGAGGUGCACAAGAUUUUGAUAAUAUGUAUGUUGUGGAAAUUUCCAUACUUGUAAAAGUGAUAGAAUUUUAUUGUGUAGUUUCUUCUUAACCAUGGUUGUUUCAAACUGUACGGAAUAAUUUGGGUUGGUUCCACACCAACAGUGUGACAAAUAUUUUUAGAGAGAAAAUGUUGAAAUUUCCAUGCUUUGAUAUUUACCCUAUCUUAUUACGUAUUUUACGAGGUGUAGAAAUGUCCACGUUUAUGACAGAAAUAUGUAGACAAUAUAUGUAUUGUGGAAAUUUCCACACUUGUACAAGUGAAAAUAUUUCUUAUUGUAAUUUGGGUUCGUGUGGAAAUUUCCACACCAAGAUUGUUACAAAUGUUUGUAAAGGGUAACUUUUGAAACUACCAUGUUUUGAAAUUUUACUCUAUUUUAUUAUGUAUUUUACGAGGUGUGGAAAUUUCCACAAUGCUCUUCAUUGCUUAUUAUAUUCCGCCAAAUAUGACCUUGAAAACGUGGAAAUUUCCACGUUUAUGACAGAAACAUUUAGACAAUAUAUGUAUUGUGGAAAUUUCCACACUUGUACAAGUGAUAACAUUUCUUAGUAUAAAUUGAUUUGAACAUUGUUAUGUUUAAUAUUUUACGGAAUAAUGGGUUGACGUGGAAAUUUCCACACCAAGAUUGCUACAGAUGUUUAUAAAGGGUAAUUUUUGAAACUACCAUGUUUUGAUAUUUUGAAAUUUUACCCUAUUUUAUUGCGCAUUUACGAGGUGUGGAAAUUUCCACAGUGUUCUUUACUGCUUGUAAUAUUUCGUCAAAUAUUACUGUUUGAAAACAUUUAGACAAUAUUGUGGAAAUUUCCACACUGAAUCGAGUGAUCAGGUUUCUUAGUAGAUCUACAGAUUGAUUUUCAACAUUUUUAUGUUUCAUAUUUUAAAGAAUAAUGGGUUGACGUGGAAAUUUCCACACCAAGAUUAAGCCAAGUAAUGUUGAAAUUACCAUGUGUUGAUAUUUUGAAAUUUUACCCCGUUAUAUUAUGCAUUCGACGAGGUGUGGAACUUUCCACAAUGUUUGUUAUUACUUCUUUUAUUCCCUCAAUAAAUAUGUAUCUAU